UACAGAGGGUGCAAGCGUUGUUUCGGAAUUAUUUGGGCGUAAAGCGCGUGUAGGCGGCUUUGCAAGUCGGGGUGUGAAAGCCCUCAGCUCAACUGAGGAAGUGCGCCCGAAACUGCAGAGCUUGAGUGCCGGAGAGGGUGGCGGAAUUCCCCAAGUAGAGGUGAAAUUCGUAGAUAUGGGGGAGGAACACCGGUGGCGAAGGCGGCCACCUGGACGGUAACUGACGCUGAGACGCGAAAGCGUGGGGAGCGAACAGG
rnacentral:rRNA from 1 species